ACGCUUUAUAAAAUUGGAGAAUUUAUCUCAAGAGAUGAAAUAUUUCGAAAUAAUUCACAGUAUCCACACUAGAUGUCGACUUUAGGUCGUGUAUUUAAUAUGGCGCGUAUAUUCCGAAGUACGUAGGUAGCCAAUGCUGGCGGGACUUGCGCCUCAGAAGGUUUUUGUACCGCAACGCGUACGGUAGCACGUGCUUGAAAGUUGUUCACUUCGUAUUCACUUACCAGCUUAAUGAUCAAUGCCCGCGAUUCUUUGAAAUCACGAGUUAUUAUUGAAAUUGUGCACGAAUCAUGGCCCGUUCUUAACCUAGAAUCACGUUCGAUUAAAACUGUUUUGUUGCGCGCGCGAAUCGUCGCAGAAAAGUCGUACGUGCGAAAUGUAACGUAACAUCGAAGGAGAGUUCGCACGGGUCUAGUUUAACGGUUGUAAUAUAAAUCUUUCCAUGUUAUUUCCCUUGGCUUUCGUAAGUUUUUGUUGAUAACAUUAACAAGCGAAUGGCUGUUCAAACGGAUUAUAACAAGAACGUAUCAAUAACGGCACGAUCUAAGAUUGUAAACGUAAACACUAUUACGCGUUGCUUAUUAUCUUGCGACAAAUGUGUAUUAGAACCGGUAUUUCCUUAUUCGUCAAUCAAACUUCGGUAGUUUUUAUUUAUUGAUGAUUGACUUAAUCGAUGAUAAUUUGUUCGUUGCGCAAAAUCUGUUUAAUGGUGCUUCCAAUCAAUGUUCCCGAUAAUAUUCAUUUAUGCGUCGAAUUAAGAAACGUUUGAUUUGCCAAUUUUUCUUGAAGUGACAACCAGUAAAGUCAUUAAAAAUUUAAAUUUAUUGUGUAAGUGAUUAUGUGUUUAUUUUCGUUGAUGUAAAAGAGAUUUUGUUUUCUGUUUAUUUAUCUGAUGAGUGUUAAAAAAAAAUUGAACUUAUUAAGCUCAUAAAGUGUGAAGUGCAUUGUGAAAUGUAGAAGUGAAAAACAGAAAUUGAAGAAUCGUUCAACAUAUUUUAUGUGAUAUAAUCUGCAACAGUUGUGUUACCGGGGGGACUGGAUCAUCGACAACCUCAACCGAUCAUUGAAACAUUGAGAGAAAAGAUCCUUCGUUCAAUUUGUCAAAUCUGGGAUAAAUUUAAAAAGAAAUAAAUAAAAGAUGCACGGGAUAAGUCACCUGCUCUCCCACCACAACUCCCACAAUGGUGACACAAGGAUGAUCCACCAUCAUCAUCCGGAUAACAACAAAAGCUCCUCAACCUCGGACACCGUGAGCAGACACCACGACACAAAGAUCCUCCAGGAGUUGUUGAACCACAAAAAUAUCCAGAAACGUAUAUCGAGAGCUCCAAUCAUCAUCACGGUGCUCACCACUCGGUGUACCACACGAUCCACGGUAGCAGUCAUCACCAUCAUCAGCUUCAUCAUCAUCAUCACCACCAUCAUCAUCACCCCCUUCAUCACGCCCAUCACCAGCUGCAGCCGCAACAACACUCCCAACACCAUUUGACCGGCAGUGGAAGAGCGUCGCCCACGAGCCCGAACGGGGAUCACGAGAAGCACCACCAUCAGAAGGAUCAUCAUCAUUACAGCAUUCAAGAGAUGAUACGCCAUUUUGGGAGGAGGUUGGGCCACAUGAGGCGGCAGAGCGAGUGCCAGGAUCCUCCUAGGAAGAAGGAGGAGGAUUUUAGGAACAGGAGCCAGAGUUUAGACGGGGGUGUCAGAUAUCCCAGCCUAAGGGAUGCUGAUUGCGAGACCACUUACAGAAUUUACGAAAGCAUUCUCAGGCAAGGUAACAGAAAUAUAAUGAGAAAUGGGCUGUGAAUUUGAUCUUUCUUCUCUCUCUCUCUCUCUCUUUCUCAUUGAGAUUGGUUGAAACAUUUUGGUGAAUUGAUUGAUUUUGUAAAUAUUUACAUGGAAGAAUCUUUAUUGAGAUUCUUAGAUUCUAUGUUGAAAUAUUUUCAAUAUUGACUACGUGCUGUGUCUUUGGAAUGUGAGUCAGGUAGAUCUAAGUUAGAUGGGGUUAGGAAUUUGAUUUUUUUUUUUCUUUUUAUAUGUACGUUUGAUGAAUAUUUAGAUCCUCUUGUGAAAUAUUUUUAAUACCGAGCACGUUAUAUCUCCACAUUUGAAUUAGGUUAAAUUGAUUUUAAGUAGAUUUAUGUUAGACAGGGUUAGAUUUAAAGAAAAAAAGUUACUUUUUGCAAGAAAAAUAUUGAUUAAUCGAUGAUACCUUUAAUUUAAAUAAUUAAUGAAAGUUUUGUCAUCGUUAUUCUUUUUUUUUAUAUAUAUACAUAUAUAUAUAAAUUUUCUCUAGAAUAAGUGAGUUAUUUUUGACGAUGACAAUGAUUUUUAAGAUCAUUAAGAUCAAUAAAAAUUCAAGUUUUUGAAUUCUAUUUUCUUCCGAGUGAAAUUUACUUGAAACCAGAAUUCUAUUAUUCGGCAAAAGUUUAAUAAUAAAUAAACUCUCCGGUUAAAUGCAUGAUAUUGAUACGUGCCAAAAACUUUACAAACAACCCAAUAUAAUAUCGUUGAUUUUAUUUUUACAUUGUAAUGGUAACUGUAAACACACGGUCGUCCUUUUAUACGUAGCCUCCUCGCAUCUCUCUCCCCCCUCCUCUCCUCCCCCCUCCAACAAAAUUGGGCAACCCACCGAUAAAUAAUAAUAUCGUAAAUAUGAUCAUGGUCAAGGACGAUCCGCCUUGAAUUUAAUUUUCAUUGAAAUUUAUUCCCGGACAUCCUCUUAGCAUUUAACGGUUAUUUCUGAUACUGCACUCCAACGGUGGUAGCCUGCUUCUAUUUUUGGCUCAGUGAAUGACUUUACGUAACAUUUUGUUCUCCAAGUUCAACCUUAGUCGAGUUCAGUUCACCAUUGAAAGAAACGAGAAUCACCUUGACCCGAUUGUAUAACUAAUCCUCUAUAAUAAGUGUACUUAAGGAAUCUGAAACUUCUUAAGAUUUGACUCGGUUAAGAUUUUAUCAGCUUUUAUCGGUCAUCCAAGUGUAUAAGCGAGUUUCAAAGUUACUUAUCAUACAGUUUUAACGAUAUAUGUAAUUUGAUGUAUAAUCUCGUCACGAUGUUGUUUCAAAUUGUACAUCGUACGUUUUUUACGUAUAUGUAAAUGUUAAAAAAUUACGUAUCCUGGGAUGAUAAUUAUUCGCAAAAGAGAUGUUUAUUUCUGCUUUUGAAAAUACGUUCUUAAUAUUCUAUAACAAUUUUUUUUUUUAACAUAAUUCGACAUGUUCGUCGAUAUGAAAUUCUAUGUAUAAUUGUGGCAUACAUAUUGGCAUUGGAUCGCAAGCGCCUCGUAACGGCGGAAUAAUAAACUAAUUCGAACCUAACCAUAUUUUUUGUUUACAGUGUCUAUAAAUAAAAGUAUCUAUAGUAUUUAUAAAUGUGGAUUCUUCGAAUGGAAACUUGGUGCGUGUGUGUUAGAUUUGGGCUAAUAUUAUCAAAUCUAACCUAACUUAUAUCAUAUUUUUGGUUAUAAUCUAAUUUAAUAUAACAUAAUCUCUAAUUCUUAUAAUACGUAUCAAAUAUUAUAAAUAUCAUGUGUAAUAUAUUCAUAACUCGAAGACUGAAUAGUGGCAACGUGUGUAAAGAAAAAUUAUUCAGAAUCAUAUUUUCGAAACAGAGGAGAAAAUGAAGGAAAAUGAUUGGAUGGAAAAUUUUCAUUCAGAGGUAGGCUCUCGAUACUUGUGAAAUUCGUUUCGUAUAUAUAUGUUUAUUGAAAGAGAAGAUUAAGCAUUUACGCAAUUUUAUGCAUCGUUUAAAUGUUUAAUGGCCCGUAUAAGCUUGAAAAUACUACAUCAAACGUUUCAGGAUUCUCCAUAAUCGCGAAUCGGAUAAAUAGUUUAUCAAAGUGAAUAAAUAAGCGAUUCGAUGUUAGACAACGCAUAAAACUGACAAUUAAUCGUUCAAUGUGCAAUUUAUAUCUAACAAAAUGUUCUUAUUUGCAAAAAAGUUGUAAUUUUUCAUAAUUUAACGUAUUUAUCCAGCAGAAAUUGAAAAUACGAGAAAAUACGUUCGAAGUUUAUAUUGGAAAGUAUGGUCAAUCAUUCGAACACUUUCUACUUUCGAAAAUUCGCUUCAAGCGAUGCUUCUUUUUUUUUUUUUUUGCAGGAAAAAUUAGUAAAAAUCCAUUUUUUCGCAUUUAGUAGCUAUUUAAUCUCGUUUAGAUAGCAUACGUUACAAUUUAAAAAUAUAUUAUGAAAAUUCUUGUUAGGUUAGGUUAGGUUAGGUUUUAUCUUUUGAUUAUUAUAAUACACUAUGAAAAUGUUUAUGAUCGUGCUAUGAUAUACAAUCAAACAUUUCCAUGAUGAAAUUGAAUAUUUGAAUUAUAAAUUAAAAUAGCUUAUAAAAAUAUUAUCAUGGAAUGUAUUUAUUACUUUAAUAAGAUGGCCUUCACAGGAUUUAAUUUACAUUACAUAUUCUUAUCUUUUUUACUUAUCUUUCUAAUGAUACUUCAAUUUGAUGAUGAAAUUUAUAUAUAUAUAUAUAUAUAUAUAUGUAUAUUUUAUUUAUGUUCGAUGAACAGACAAACAGAAUAAUCAACAUUGAAUUUUCUUAAUAGAAAUUACACACACAUAUGUAUAUAUAUAUACAUUGAUUUAUAUAUGAUAAUUCACAAUUGCAUAAUCAUGUUUUAUAAAACAUGAUAUAAAUCUAUGAUACGAAAACUUAAAAAAAUUAAUUUUCAUCGAUCAUUAAUGCGACAAUUUUUUUUUUAUUUUAAUUUUUGUUUCGAAGAAUUUUGAUUUAAAAAAUUAUCUUUUAAAUUUUUUUGCAUCCUUUAUAAAUUCAUAUUUUUCUAUAUAUUAAUUAUGAAUGAUUUAUAGAAGCCAAAACAAAUAUAAAAAUUGAUGUACAAUAUCUCUCGAUUAUUCAUUAAAUUAUUAAGCAAUUUAAAUUUUCAUCGAAGUGAAAUGAGGCUCGGAAUGUAAGAGAGAUAGAGCGAUCUUACUCUAUCUCUAUCUCUCUCCUCGUCCAACGCAAACUUCAAUCGCUUGUAACUUAAUAAUUUACGAUCGAUAUUUUCGUAUUACCAACUUUUGUAUUUGUUUUGGCCUUCAGAAUCGAUCGAAAAUAUUUCACACAAAGAUAUAUAUAUAUAUAUAUAUUUGAAUCACAAACGUAUAUUUCGAGAAAAAUAAUUUUGCAGUAUAUUCAUUAUUCAUCCUUCCCAUUAUUUUUUAUCCUUCGUUACGAGCUUAUUGUCGGCCAUUUUUCAUCAGGUAUUAUAGCCGAAUAUUAUCGUUCCACUCUCGUUAUUCAGAGAAAGUCGAUCUUGUUUCGUAAUAUCUCCAACAAUAUCUCCAGAAUAUAGCGAAUAAAAUUAAUAGUUUGUUCGUUCGUUGGGUUUAUUCGCAUAAAGCAUGUGUGCGCGCGCUUACUACGUGCUGCAGCUGCAACCGAGUCCAUUGACGCAGUUCCCUUCGAAUCGACUCGACGAUCCACAAGGUCGAUGUUGAAUUCUCCUUGCUUAAAAUAAACUAACUCGCUUCUUUAAAUGAUGAUAAUUAAUGCAUUCUAUAGAUGCAUCAAUGGACUCGACUUCGCGAUUAUGAUCGGUUGUCAAAGGUUUAAUAAGGUAAAGUCGCCAAAUGGGAACGAUCAAUGUUUUUAGAAAAUAUUUUUUUUUAAAUUCCUCGAAAAAUUUGUGGAAGCAAAAAAUUUGAAAAUUCGGGAAUGAGAUAAAAAAAAUUUCAAAUUUGAAAAUUAAUGAAAUUAAAUAGGAAUUGAAUUAUUUAAAAGUUCGGAUAGAGGAUAGAAUUUAAAAAUUUUAAAAAUUCGAAGAUUUAAUAAUUCUUAAAAAAUUUGAAAUUUUGAAAAUAAAGAAAAAAGUAAUUUUGAAGAAUUAUAGAAAUAUUAAAAAAAAUUUAUACUCUGAGAGUUUCAAAAAUGUUGAAAAAAUCCUCAGAUCUACUUUUUUUUUAUCUAUCUGUAUACGAAAAGAGAGGUCUUAUUUAUGUACAGUUUUGCUCUAACGUCAAUAGUUUCUAAGCUUUGCGAAUGUAUCGUUUGACGCGGAGGCAGAGAGGAUUCUGUUUUUAGCUAUUUGAGAAGUAGCGACGCUCGAAAGAGAAUAUAAAUCCGGGAGUCUUGGACAGUAAAAAGACUAAAUAUUUCAUAAUAUCAUCUCUUUCUUAAAGUGACUAUAUCGUAUAAAUUUUAUGCAACAUGAUUAUCUAUGAAAAUUUAUUUUUUAUUGCAAUUUUUAUUUUUUAUUUUCUAUCGCAAAAUGCAAUUAGAAAUUUUUUUUUUUUAAUGAUUCAUGAUACGAUAUCGAAAAACAAGGUGAACCAUUGUGAUUUGUUUUCAAAAAUUUGUAUUCGAAUUUUUUUUUUACGCUUCUAUACAAAAAUACGAUAGAAAAAUCUCUCUUUUCCAUUUUUUUCCAAAAAAAUGAUUGUAGAAAUCUUUUUAUCAAAUUAUAUAUAGCCUUCGUAUUUAAAAAAUUCUUCUCUCAAGAUAUUUUUUCAAAAUAAUGCACAUAAUGUAUAUAUCUCCAAAAAAAUUUGAUUAAUUAAAAUCAAUUAUUUGCGCCAAAUAUUGAAUUUCGAUAAAAAUAAGAAAAAAGUAUAUGUAAAAUUUAAAGGUCACCUUUCUAUCUCAAAAAUAUUGCAAAUAUAAAAAAUUGAUUGACCAAGUAUUUGAAUUAAAUUAAUAUAGAAAAACUGAGAUAUCCAUUUUCUUUUUAUAUAUUAAAUUGUCCCGAAUUAUACAAUAAUGAUAAUAAAAAGAAUUUGUUAAAAAUAAUCUUAAAAAUUAAUUUAUUUUCAACCUGUUAUUAUACUGAUCAGUGAUGCUGUUCAGGUCAUAGAUCAACUUUCUUCAUAAUAUAUCUGACCAAAGCUGUCAAUUUUAAUUUAACUUAUAAAAUUCUCUUUCAUCAUUCUCUUUCAUAUUAAAGAUUCUGAAGAAUUCGAACAAGAAAAAAAAAAAGAAUUUGAAGAAAACUGAGUUUACAAAGUUAUAUGUUCGAUUCGAAGUUCGAUUCUGAAAAUUUCAUGAAUAAAAAGAAUUAACCUAUUUGUCUAUUCAUCCGGAAUUUGACUUCCCCAACUUUCAAGCCACUGCUCUAAUCAAUUUCAACUUUUUCAACCGCAUUCUUUUGAAAAAUUUAAUAUUCGAAAAUUUUUCGUAUAAAGUUGAUGAUCAAAUUCAGGUUAAUAUUCAAUCACAUAAUUUUUAAGAUUUUUAGUAGCUAGAAUAAUAUAACAAUAGUAUUAUUAAUGUAUUCCUAUUCCUAAAAUUAUUCUAAGUAUAAUUAUUUAUUUAUUUAAUUAAUUAAUUAAUUACUAUAUAAAUUUCCGCGCUAUCUAUUUCACUUUCAAAUCCAUAUCCAGGAUAAAAAAAAAUAAUAAUAAACGACUACGCGAUUUCCGUCGAAAUCUCACAACUCGUAACGCAUUAUUUAUCGUGUAAUACGUCGAUAUUCUCUUGACCUAUCAUUGACGAAGUGUCUGUCAUCCGUGGCGUCUGUCAUUGACUGCGUAGACGAGAAUGCGCCAGAGAAAUAAACAAUCAUGAUAAACCGAGUAUAUAAGGCUAUCGUUUCAAGCUGAGGAAGCGAAUAUUAUUGCGGAUACAUUAUACGCCGCCUAUCUUUGCAACGAGAAAAACGAAUUUUACGAGUAAUCGCCACUAGAGAAGUGAGGGAAAAGUAACAGUGGUGGGGAAACUUAGAAAUGGAGAUGAAAGAAAUAAUGGGUGUUCUAUUGUAUUCUAUUGUUUCAACAAGAUUUCUUACCUUGACAGUACAAUGCAAAUAAUCACGAUAUUAAACUCCUUCAUCUCUCUCUCUAAGCUUUCAGAUAGAUUUAACCUUUCGAGGAUAACUCGGCAAUAAUUCAGAUAAUGAUGGGAAAGACCGAUUUCUCAAAUACGUAAAAAAUUUCACUAUUCAUUUUCUCGAUAGAAUAAAAACUUUAUAAUUUUGAUCUUUCACUUGAAUUAAUAAAAAUUACAGUUUCUUUUCUCUUCGAAAUCGAGUAGAUUCUUUGCGAUAUUUAUCAAACAAUAAAUUUUAAUGAUUUACUUGUUACUUAAAAAUUUUAUCCGCAUUCAUUUCGUUUUCUUUUCGCUUUCUUUUCGCUUUCUUUUCAUUCAGCUCAUUUAGUGAUAUUUAAAGCGGCAAAGUAUCUUUGUGGCUUGAAUAUCCUUUUUCGUCUCUCUGUAAGGAUUGAGAACAAAUAAAAGUAACCUUCAAAAGCAGAAUUUCGAUCGUUUGAUCAUCUCUAUCUCUAUAGUUUUACUAGGCCUUUUCACGUAAACAUGAUAAAAAAAGUGUAUCAACAAUGGAUUGCGAAUGUUCAUGCAUUUAUGUAAAAUUAAAGAAAUAUAAAUACGUAUAAAAUGCAAA